rnacentral:rRNA from 1 species
GAGGGGGGAUGCAAGCGGUAUCCGGAAUUAUUGGGCGUAAAGCGUACGUAGGCGGCUUAUCAAGUCUGGGGUCAAAGACCACAGCUUAACUGUGGAAAGGCCUUGGAGACUGGUGAGCUGGAGUGAGGUAGGGGUUGCGGGAAUUCCCGGUGUAGCGGUGAAAUGCGUAGAUAUCGGGAAGAACACCUGAGGCGAAAGCGCGGGACUGGGCCUUAACUGACGCUGAGGUACGAAAGCUAGGGGAGCGAAUGGG